rnacentral:tRNA from 1 species
ACUUUUAUAAUUUAAUAUAAGAAUAUUACAUUGAAGCUGUAAAUGUGACUAGUAAGUCUGAAAGUA